GAUGAACGCUGGCGGCGUGCCUAACACAUGCAAGUCGAGCGGACGGACGAGAAGCUUGUUUCUUUGAUGUUAGCGGCGGGCGGGUGAGUAACACGUGGAUCACCUACUUAUAUGACUGGGAUAAUUACGGGAAACCGGAUCUAAUACCGGAUGAUAUUUUGAACCGCAUGGUUCAAAAGUGAAAGACGGCCUUGGUGUCUCUAAUAGAUGGUUCCGCGCUGCAUUAGCUAGUUGGUAGGGUAACGGCCUAUCAAGGCUACGAGGCGUAGCCGACGUGAGAGGCUGAUCGGCCACACGGGAACUGAGACACGGUCCAGACUCCUACGGGAGGCAGCAGUAGGGAAUCUUCGGCAACGGGCGGAAGCCUGACAGAGCGACGCCGCGUGAGUGAUGAAGGUCUUCGGAUCGUAAAGCCCUGUUAUUGGGGAAGAACAGAUGUGGAAGGAGCUGUGGCCAUCUUGACGGUACCUAAUCAAAAAGCAACGGCUAACUACGUG
rnacentral:rRNA from 1 species